GAAUUGGUGUUAAUAUUUUUUUUCCCCACAUACAGUUGGAGUUUUGUAAACAUUUUUGUGUUCGUAUCUUCUCGUCUAUACAGAAUCCCUGCGUCCUCUGCACCUGUGUGGAAAAUCUACAGCUGCUCUUCGAGUGACGUGACCUAGAUUUUAAAACAAAAACUGCCCAGGAGGCUUUCAGCUGUAGCCUUACAUUUUAACUGGAACUGAACUUUCCAAAAUCUCUUGGCAGAGGGCAGCUUGUUUAGAGAACCUGACUGGCUGGUAGCAGAAGACAGCAUCCAUAGCGGUGGUGUUUCUCUGUGCGAAGGUGUGAUGUCUCCAGGAAGGGGGAAGGUGCUGAAGAAAAACUGAGUGAAUUAUAUUCUUGAGGUCCAGGCAGAUGAAAAUAAAUGGCUUCUCAGGUAGUUUGCUUUCUUGUUCUCUUUCCCUUUCCUUUGUGUUUGUGAUAAAGUUUGAAGGAGGCUGAACAAACUGAAGUUUAUCUCCCAAAUAUAGCGAAUGUUACUGUCAUUUCAGAGUAUUUUCCUAGACAAGGUGAUUUAUGGCAGCAGGCUUUUUCCCUGGACGUUAACAACACAUUUGCAGGUUUGCAGUGCGUGCGCUUCCUGAGCUCCUCACCAACAUCAGUGGGUCAGCCAUCACCCAGGCGGUUGUGUCUGACCUUUGCCAAAUUACUUUUCCCUCCUGUGAGCUCACAAGUUUGUUUAAAAAUAUUAAGACUCAUUGUGCAUUGUGACAAGUGUAAGAAUGGAUAAAAUAUCAAGGCUUUAAUGCUUAGUGAUGCUGCAUGAGAGCUAAGCGCCGCAGCUAGGAAGCUGGGUAGCAAGGAUCAACGAAUGUGAUGCAUCUAUCUGUAUUCCCAUAUGUCAGUCUCUCAGACAAUUUCACAGAUUUGCUAAUGGGGAAAAGGCUUUUCAGUAAAGCUUCUUCAGGGCCCUUACAGAGAUGUGAAUGUACUCCAGAACCUUGAUGAGUGAUAAGAGGAAACACUGAAAGACAAAUUUCCA